GACACAGCCAGAAGAGGACUGGCCACCCCACAUAGCCUGGUUCCUCUCUAGGUUUAUAAUCUCCACCCGGCACAGCCAGAAGAGGACUGGCCACCCCUCAUAGCCUGGUUCCUCUCUAGGUUUAUAAUCUCCACCCGGCACAGCCAGAAGAGGACUGGCCCACCCCUCAUAGCCUGGUUCCUCUCUAGGUUUAUAAUCUCCACCCGGCACAGCCAGAAGAGGACUGGCCACCCCUCAUAGCCUGGUUCCUCUCUAGGUUUAUAAUCUCCACCCGGCACAGCCAGAAGAGGACUGGCCCACCCCUCAUAGCCUGGUUCCUCUCUAGGUUUAUAAUCUCCACCCGGCACAGCCAGAAGAGGACUGGCCACCCCUCAUAGCCUGGUUCCUCUCUAGGUUUAUAAUCUCCACCCGGCACAGCCAGAAGAGGACUGGCCCACCCCUCAUAGCCUGGUUCCUCUCUAGGUUUAUAAUCUCCACCCGGCACAGCCAGAAGAGGACUGGCCCACCCCUCAUAGCCUGGUUCCUCUCUAGGUUUCUUCCUAGGUUUUGGCCUUUCUAGGGAGUUUUUCCUAGCCACCGUGCUUCUACACCUGCAUUGCUUGCUGUUUGGGGUUUCAGGCUGGGUUUCUGUACAGCACUUUGAGAUAUCAGCUGAUGUACGAAGGGCUAUAUAAAUACAUUUGAU